AGAUGCGAUCAUACCAGCACUAAAGCACCGGAUCCCAUCAGAACUCUGAAGUUAAGCGUGCUUGGGCGAGAGUAGUACUAGGAUGGGUGACCUCCUGGGAAGUCCUCGUGUUGCAUUCC
rnacentral:rRNA from 2 species